rnacentral:lncRNA from 1 species
GUCUUUAAGACUAAUCCGACGUCGAUGUCGUCUGGAGGUGCCCAAUCAUUGCCACGCCGAUUUGCUUUUCUUGUCAUCCGUGGCCAUAGGCUCGAGCUUGGUGGUCCGGACUCCGCAUCGCCUCGAAGGUGUUGCUGUUUUCUUGACCUGUGUCGAGAGCCUUCUUAGAGGCCGGAGAUGUUUGGUAGGAACUUCCCAUCUUUGUUGAGAUGAGGUUCCUUAGGUCCUUGGUGUGGUUUGUUUUUCGUCUGCUGCCGACGUAAUUC